rnacentral:rRNA from 1 species
UACGGGGGGGGGUAAGCGUUGUUCGGAAUUACUGGGCGUAAAGGGCUCGUAGGCGGCCAACUAAGUCAGACGUGAAAUCCCUCGGCUUAACCGGGGAACUGCGUCUGAUACUGGAUGGCUUGAGUGUGGGAGAGGGAUGCGGAAUUCCAGGUGUAGCGGUGAAAUGCGUAGAUAUCUGGAGGAACACCGGUGGCGAAGGCGGCUCACUGGACCGGCAUUGACGCUGAGGUGCGAAAGCGUGGGGAGCAAACAGG